rnacentral:rRNA from 1 species
GACGAACGCUGGCGGCGUGCUUAACACAUGCAAGUCGAACGGUGAAGGGAAGCUUGCUUCCCGGAUCAGUGGCGAACGGGUGAGUAACACGUGGGCAAUCUGCCCCAGAUUUUGGGAUAACUACUCGAAAGAGUAGCUAAUACCGAAUAUUCAGCCUUGCAGGCAUCUGCGAGGCUGGAAAGUUUCUCGGUCUGGGAUGAGCCCGCGGCCUAUCAGCUAGUUGGUGAGGUAAUGGCUCACCAAGGCGACGACGGGUAGCCGGCCUGAGAGGGCGACCGGCCACACUGGGACUGAGACACGGCCCAGACUCCUACGGGAGGCAGCAGUGGGGAAUAUUGCGCAAUGGCGAAAGCCUGACGCAGCAACGCCGCGUGCGGGA